AGGCCUGUAGCUCAAUUGGCAGAGCACCGGUCUCCAAAAUCGGGGGUUGCAGGUUCGAGUCCUGCCAGGCCUGCCA
rnacentral:tRNA from 1 species